AUUGAACGCUGGCGGCAUGCCUUACACAUGCAAGUCGAACGGUAACAGGUCUUCGGAUGCUGACGAGCGGCGAACGGGUGAGUAAUACAUCGGAACGUGCCCAGUAGUGGGGGAUAACUACUCGAAAGAGUGGCUAAUACCGCAUGAGAUCUACGGAUGAAAGCAGGGGAUCGCAAGACCUUGUGCUACUAGAGCGGCCGAUGGCAGAUUAGGUAGUUGGUGGGAUAAAAGCUUACCAAGCCGACGAUCUGUAGCUGGUCUGAGAGGACGAUCAGCCACACUGGGACUGAGAAACGGCCCAGACUCCUACGGGAGGCAGCAGUGGGGAAUUUUGGACAAUGGGCGCAAGCCUGAUCCAGCAAUGCCGCGUGCAGGAUGAAGGCCUUCGGGUUGUAAACUGCUUUUGUACGGAACGAAAAGCCCCGGGUUAAUACCCUGGGGUCAUGACGGUACCGUAAGAAUAAGCACCGGCUAACUACGUGCCAGCCGCCGCCGUAA
rnacentral:rRNA from 1 species